GUGAAUCAUCAAAUCUUUGAACGCAAAUUGCACUCUCUGGUAUUCCGGAGAGUAUGCCUGUUUGAGGGUCAGUUUAAAUAAAAAUCGGUGUGGUUGCUGCCUGUCGUGGUGACGCACCGGAUUUGGGUCGUCUUGCCUUCGGUGAAGGGACCUAAAAUUUUGCAUUAUGUUUUUCGAACGUAUUUAAAUGAUUUUACGUACUUUUGCGGUAUCGAAGACUUGAUGUUGUCAUCCUCAUG
rnacentral:misc_RNA from 1 species